CCAGAUUUUUAUGUAUGUUACUAAUAUCACAUGAAAAAUCCACCCCAAAUUUUAAACAAUGGUAUAUUUUCAAGACCAUCGCCUUAACAGGACUAAUUUGCUGUUUUUCUCUGGACAUAUAUUUGUUAAUAAAAUAAAAAAGGCUAAGAACAAGGCCGAGCAUUCUCAAUCAUCAGGAAGGCUCAUUUAUUUUAAUAUGUGAAUGAGUGUGAAUGGCAGAGCAGCCGAUCCUGCAGCAACCGUGUGCUUUACCGAAUCUGUUGAGCUGUGAUUGCUAACUGCACUCAUUGAAGUCCCAGGAGACAGCCAGAUGCUUCUAAAAAUAGAAACCGAGAGCACGAGCCAAUGGCUUGAUAGCCCGUAAAUAAUUUAUCGCCUACUUUUGCUUUGUGUACUCAGCAGAAGAGUGGUGAGAGAGGAACACAGUGAGAGAGAGAGUGAGUAUAGAAGAGAAGAGAAUGAAUGAUUAAAAUCAGCAUUGGACUGUGGGUGAUUAAAAAAAAGAAGAUGACAGUUUGGAAGAAGUUUUCAUACUGAGCUGCUCAUCAGUUCAACUGUGCGUCUCUGCCCGGUUUGCUCUGUCUCCAGCAUUCCACCCAUGAUGGAUUCAUAACCAUGAAUAUCCUGAGGCUGGAGGCUGUCCCUCGCUCACUCUCUGACAGCGAUGCUCUCGUCAAGGUCACAACUCGUUAGACGCACCCUGUCUCUAGCAGUCAUCCUAAAAUAAAAUCCUGAAUAAAUCCUAGCUUCGGAACCCCCUGUGACAAGGCCAAAAGCAGCAUGAUUCACGCUGAUGAGACGCAGAUAUGACACUCUCACUGACAUCAUGCUAUUUGUGGAUCAAGAUUCAGCCAUGACACUGCAACACCCACUCACACACUCCUUCCUUAACAUCAAAUCAAGUGCGUCACUGGUGUCGAUGCUUGACGUCUAUGUCCUGUUCGUGGAAACCUGGUAUUUUUGGAUGACAUUGAAACUAGGAUGAGUUUGAUGAAAAGUGGAGCAGAAGCUGGAGCAAGGGUCCCUGUCACAAUCCUGCUUUCUGCUCGGCCCUGUGUCUCCCAUGACCAAAGAACGUGUGUGUGUGUGUGGUGUGUGUGUGUGUGUGUGUGUGUGUGUGUGUGUGUGUGUGUGUGUGUGUGUGUGAGAGAGAGAGUGAAAAGUGGAAAAAUUCACUUCAGACUAAAUUUCUAAAACUAGAUUCCUUUGAGGCACAAACUCAAUGUAAUGGUCAGGAAUCAAGGGUAUGACCAAAAUAGAGAAGAGAUUAAGAAAGAAUGUAAAAUAGAAACAUGGGAAAACACACACAAAAAAGAAAAAACUCAAGCGCAGACACUAGGUUCCUGUGUGAUCAUAUUCUACCUCCACAUUCUGGUCUCUGCAUUGCUCACAGAGCUGUUUGAAUUUCUCCUGUAUGUGCACGUGACCAGCACAAAAUGGACAACGGCUUAUUUUGUUUCUGACGCACCACAAUAAAAAGAAUAAAACAAAAUAUCGAACCUGUGGUGGAUCACAACUGACUUAAAAAAAAAAAAAACACAGAAAACUUACAGAAGAUUGAUUGCAAUGUUCACAGGACCCGGCAUGUGGUUCGGGUGCUCAUUUGCAUACUGCCGUCUUCUGCUUUAUCGUUAGUGCAAAGGCCAACGCUGCGAUAAUGACUGAGAAUCGAUACGCUUUGCAGCACCGAGUGUGGACGUGUGGGCGGGUGGAAAUGCAAGAGGCUAAAAAUAGCCUGCCUGCAAGUGAGGACUCUAGACGCUUAUUAGUUUAACACGUCUAUAUAUACGGCAUUCAUUUGCACUCCAUAGGUGCAGCUGGGAUUCGUUGCCUCGUAGAGCUGGGAAGAGAAAAUCAUUAUGGAUGGUGAAAUUCCCAGCAGCGUUGAUCUAAAUAAGCGUAUCUGUAACUGGAUCAUCCGAUUCAUAAAGAGUUCAGCAUACGUGAGAGGUGUUGUCAGCAGCAGAAUUAUUAGCACCUUCAGCACUCUUUACAACAGUGAUGAGCAGAAAAGCAAAGGGAAUUUGAGGCUAGCUGGUACAGACAGGUCAGCUGAUAAUAGAACAUAAAUAUGUCCCAAUUAUUAGCACCCCUCCAUUCAGUACUUCCUCCCUGACAAGUCAGUAAUCUCAGUUGAACCCCUUUUACAUGGAUUGGGAUGUAUGCUUUGGAUCACUGUCCCAGUAAUGUCCCAGAGAUCAAGCUCAUUAACCACAAAAGACAUUUACUCAUCUUUACCCAAUGACACAAAUGACGUUAUUCGCUCGACCUUUUUGUUGGUAAGAAACUCUCCGGUUUAACAUGGGAAAGGACAGAACAGAGCAGUUAGGACAUGAACACCACAAGGCUAAGUGAAAGAGGACAGCUAAAUUUAUUCACUGUAGCACUAUGAAACGUAAUGAUGUAAAAACCUGCAGCUCGUUUCUCAGUGCUCCAGGCUGGAGUACUGCAGUGUAACAAAUGCUGACCUGAACACUUUUCUGAUAUUGGAUGAAUAAAAGGUCUGACGUGUGCAAAAUCAAGUUUGGAGCAAAUAAAGCAGCGUUUGGUCAGUCUGUAUGAAGUAGAUGGUUUAAUAAAUUAAAAAAAUCGACUGAGUUCAUUGUAAAGGUUAGGCAGUGCUUCAAGUCGAGCUUUGUGAACGAAUCGUUUCUGAUUGCUGAUAAAACACAGGGCUCAUGUACUUAACUGACAUUUACCUCGAGAGAAGAAACCAGAGAGAGACAUUGACAUAGAUUGCAAAUAUGAGCAAAGCUUGUCUCUUUUUCCUCUUGAUCAUAAUUAUUAUUUCUAUAUUUUGGACUCAACAUAUUUACGAUUUUAUUACUGGAAUUGAGCUUUUCUCUCAGAAACAACGAUUUUCUGUUUAGACUUUUAGACAUUUAAAAAUAAAUACACAGAUAAAAAGGAAGUUCUCAGUAAUUCUCAAAAUUCACACCAUAUUUUUUCCCGUAAAGGGAUUUCCCAGCAUGUUAAAAACACCUCUUCCAUCAUUUGAUUUAUUACAAUUUCUUCGAGGUUAUUGAGCUUUUGAGAUUCUAUUAUAACCAUUGUCGCUUUUAAGCGUUGUCCGUCUCCUGCUAAACCACAAUCCCACCUGCUAAUACUCCAACAUUAUGCUAAUUAUCUGCAUGCUUCUGUUAUAUUAUAUAAGGGACACUGGCCAGGCUUUGCAUAUAUAAUGCAAAUGAAUAUACUGUAUAUGUAUGAAAUGUAAUGGCUAAUUAUUGUGCAAAUUGAAACCACGUUGUUGAUUAUUUUCUGUCCUUGAUGUGUUUUAUUCCUUUGUUUCUAAAUGGACAAACGUCCACAAUAAAUAUGUUUUGAGCGAAUGAAUGUUGUUAUUGAAUCAUCCUAACUAAAGUUUUUUUUUCCACAAAUAAAGGAAAUAAGGUAAUGGCAAAUCAGUGAUUUUAUUUUACACAUUUUAAUUCUUUUGCAUAACCACACAAACCAAUAUUCCUAUGUUCUAGUUUACUCACUUCCUUCUUGCCUUGACCCUGAGCACUUACGAGUUAAUGGGACACCAUUAGCCUCUGCAUUGAGACUGCAGUGCAAAGUGGGAUUGCUUAGAAAGACCGUACGAGGAGUUUUUUUCCCCCAGAAAAGCAAAUGUAAAGGGCUGCUUAAUUGCAGGCUGUGAGAUGGUGGUGGUGCACAGAUGGUGAGCACAGACUCUAUUCAAAACCACACACACACACACACACACACACACACACACACACA